AGAGUUUGAUCAUGGCUCAGAGCGAACGCUGGCGGCAUGCCUAACACAUGCAAGUCGAGCGCCUUGGGCAACCAGGGAGCGGCGGACGGGUGAGUAACGCGUAGGAACGUAUCCUGAGGUGGGGGAUAACCCUGGGAAACUAGGGCUAAUACCGCAUGAUGUCUUCGGACCAAAGAUUUAUCGCCUUGGGAGCGGCCUGCGUCCGAUUAGCUGGUUGGUGUGGUAACGGCGCACCAAGGCUCUGAUCGGUAGCUGGUCUGAGAGGAUGAUCAGCCACACUGGGACUGAGACACGGCCCAGACUCCUACGGGAGGCAGCAGUGGGGAAUAUUGGACAAUGGGCGCAAGCCUGAUCCAGCAAUGCCGCGUGGAUGAAGAAGGUCUUCGGAUUGUAAAGUCCUUUCGGCGGGGACGAUGAUGACGGUACCCGCAGAAGAAGCCCCGGCUAACUUCGUGCCAGCCGCCGCGGUAAUUC
rnacentral:rRNA from 1 species